CCUACGGGAGGCAGCAGUGGGGAAUAUUGCACAAUGGGGGAAACCCUGAUGCAGCCAUGCCGCGUGUGUGAAGAAGGCCUUCGGGUUGUAAAGCAUUUUCAGUUGUGAGGAAAAGUUAGUAGUUAAUACCUGCUAGCCGUGACGUUAACAACAGAAGAAGCACCGGCUAACUCCGUGCCAGCAGCCGCGGUAAUACGGAGGGUGCGAGCGUUAAUCGGAAUUACUGGGCGUAAAGCGCACGCAGGCGGUUUGUUAAGCUAGAUGUGAAAGCCCCGGGCUCAACCUGGGAUGGUCAUUUAGAACUGGCAGACUAGAGUCUUGGAGAGGGGAGUGGAAUUCCAGGUGUAGCGGUGAAAUGCGUAGAUAUCUGGAGGAACAUCAGUGGCGAAGGCGACUCCCUGGCCAAAGACUGACGCUCAUGUGCGAAAGUGUGGGUAGCGAACAGGAUUAGAUACCCUGGUAGUCCACACCGUAAACGCUGUCUACUAGCUGUGUGUGUCUUUAAGACGUGCGUAGCGAAGCUAACGCGCUAAGUAGACCGCCUGGGGAGUACGGCCGCAAGGUUAAAACUCAAAUGAAUUGACGGA
rnacentral:rRNA from 1 species